CUAACCCAGAACAUGAUUGAUGGUAUGGGCAUCACUGGAUAUGAAGGCAUCUUCUUACGGGUGUGCGAAAUCACACUUUCAGUACUGAGGGCUCACAGAGAGACUUUGAUGAGUGUUCUUGAAACUUUUAUUCAUGAUCCGCUUGUGGAGUGGACAAAAUCUCAUAAAUCCAGUGGGGUGGAAGUUCAAAACCCACAUGCACAGCGAGCCAUUAAUAAUAUUGAAGCAAGGUUGCAAGGAGUAGUUGUUGGUGUUGGAGCAGCACCCUCUUUACCUCUAGCUGUGGAAGGUCAAGCUCGCCGCUUAAUUGCUGAAGCUGUGUCACACAAGAAUCUUGGAAAGAUGUAUAUAUGGUGGAUGCCGUGGUUUUAGAAGUUCUUACAGGAACAAUUUAGGUCAGGUAAGGUGUGUCAUUUUCUUUGACUCGCCUAGUUUUGAAGGGAUCUGUAUCUGCCUUGCCAUUUUUGUUAUAUAUAUGAUCACGAAACUUUGCC
rnacentral:misc_RNA from 1 species